ensembl:lncRNA
UUUUUUUUUUUUUUUUUUUUGCAUAACCCAUCACUAUCUGUUGAGAACGAUGAAAAUGUCCAAAAGUGACAAGGCACACCAUAAAAGUGAGCCUUAGGGCUCAUUUGCAAAACGAAUUGAGAACCCAGGUGCAGUUCUUGGCCCUGCAGCUCCUGCAAGUUGUGGUGUGGAGAGAAGGUCUUUGCACCAGUGGGCGCUAGCGUUCUGGCUGGAAGAAGGCCUCUGGCAGAGUUGGGCUUAGGGACCUGGCAUUUAUUUUUCUGUCACUGAAGCCACUGUUGCCAAGUUUCACCAUCAUAUGUCACACCUCUCCAGAGCAACUCGAUCUCUGCACAGAGGAGAUGCGUGCCAGGCCCAAUGCAGCAGUGUCCUGCUCGGCCAGCAGCCCUGGACACUCAUGAUGGACGGCCUCAGCCUGGAGGCAAGUGGGAAGGAGAACCCAGCCAAGAGUGCCUCCCAGGGUUGGGGGUCAAGCUGGCCUUUGUAAGAGCUCAGAGACCAACACGGAGCCCCACAGAAUGCCCCCAAGGCCACCUCAUGCCUUUGAGGUCACAGACUCAAGUCCUUGAUGAAAGAGUGGGCAUAGGAGGGGUAUUUUGAUAAGACAAUCCUGUAUUUCUUACCAGAGCAGCUGGGUGCCUCCUACCUCAGGAGGGCCCUGGCAGCCAUCUACAUCCGUAAACCCAGCAGUGGGCUCAGUGAGGAUGCUUAUUAUCUCUAGUACCUCAUGGGCUCAGGGGGCCAAGACCUAUGUUAUUCAUCUGUCACUGCCCAGUGUCCCGCACAGCACCUGCCUCGGUGACUGUUUAUGAACUGAAUGAAGUAGGGGCAUCACGUGGGGCAAAUGGAGGAGCUGAGGUGCCCAGCCAUGGCUGGGCCAAGACCCUGUAGGUCAGCAGCAGGCCCAGGACUCCAGCACAGGCCCUGCGUUCUGGUCAGCUCGGAUGGCAAGCCACUCCGUGCUCCCAGGUGUGUGCUGCUGUCCCCUCCCGGCAGGUAUAAGCAGGUCGACACAGGCACAGCACACCUGCUCAUGCCCCCUUUCCAUUUCCUAAACAGGCUUUAACGCAAAUGCAUUUCGUAGGGCUACUCAUCAAUUGUGGUACUUUUGAGAUGAUGUCCUCAGUUCCCCAACUCCUGAUACCUAUUGUACGUCAGCAAGAACCAUACAAACUCUUGUGUUCUGGGCCUCAUUCUCAGGAAGACUGGGGAGCCUUGAUGCAGCUAGCUAGCGAGGACCCACUUCUGGUUCAUCCAGCAAGGGCCUUCAGACCAAUUCAUGGGGGUACUGGAGACUCUGUGAUAGUAGAAUUCAACAUGUUUUGAACGUCCAGGAAAUUUGUGAACAUUCAGGAAAUAUUUCAACAGCAGGACCCAUGAGGAUGGCUGUCCAAGUUGGUGUAUUUUCUAGAAAAAAAAUAGAGGUGCUAAAUACAGCAGUUGGUUAGUGGCCCACUUCAAAUUGCUAACCACAAACUAUUCCUAGCACAGAAUUCCUUCCCCUUCAUUCAGCAAAUGCACUGAACUAGCUGCUGGAGAUCCAGCAAUGCCUAAGUCAGGGCCUGACACCCCCCACCCAAGUCUACUGGAAAGACCAAUGCACGAGCAGGAAGAUCCUCCCUCUCCCAGAGAGACCGCAGGGAUAAAGCUGAGGGGGAGACACCUCAGUCUACCAGAGGUGUCUCAGGGGAGGCAGGAUCCGAACUGAGCCAUGAAGCACAAAGAGGCAUUUUCCAGGUGGCCUCCAGGUGGACGUGAGAGAGACGAGAGGACAAGAAGUGACCUGCCCAGAGUUCGGGCGCGAUGGCUCACGCCUGUAAUCCCAGCACUUUGGGAGGCCGAGGAGGCCCCACUGCGAAGGGGACGAUGUUUUAAUUCUGGCCUAUUGAAGGGCAAACAGCUAUAGUGAACUUGCUGUCUGCAUUGCUCCAAGAUUCCCAGAGUCGAGCCACAUGCAUUCAUGAUGCCAAUAGAACUGUGAACAGAGCCCAAGCCACCAGGCACUGUCCUCAACCGUCCACCUGUCAGCAGGGCCUGUCACGCAAAUUGAUCUCAAGCCAGGGACUGGAGGAUGUGCCCUUCGACACCUUUCCAAAGAAAAGAAGAAGAAAAAAAAGAUGUAAAGAUAGACCAGAUAAAUAGAUAGCAUCUUUAGGAUGAAGAAAUACAAACAUUAAAAUUUCAUUUGACCUUCAUCUC